GAUGAACGCUAGCGGCAGGCCUAACACAUGCAAGUCGAGGGGCAGCACAGAAACAGCAAUGUUUUGGUGGCGACCGGCGGACGGGUGCGUAACGCGUAUGCAACCUACCUUUAACAGGGGGAUAACGGAGAGAACUUUCCACUAAUACCCCAUAACAUCGAUCAAGGCAUAUUGAUUGGGUGUAAACUCCGGUGGUUAAAGGUGGGCAUGCGUUGUAUUAGGUAGUUGGUGAGGUAAUGGCUCACCAAGCCUACGAUACAUAGGGGGACUGAGAGGUUAGCCCCCCACACUGGUACUGAGACUCGGACCAGACUCCUACGGGAGGUAGCAGUGAUGAAUAUUGGUCAAUGGGGGCAACCCUGAACCAGCCAUGCCGCGUGCAGGAAGACGGCUCUAUGAGUUGUAAACUGCUUUUAAACAGGGAUAAAGCACAGUAUGUAUACUGUGUUGAAGGUACGGUAAGAAUAAGGAUCGGCUAACUCCGUGCCAGCAGCCGCCGUAA
rnacentral:rRNA from 1 species